UCAUGCUAAGCACCUUACCUUUAUUAUUGUAUGAAGUCCUCGUGGCAGCUAUGUGGGCUUGCCACUAUUAAUAUUUCCAUAUUACAGAUAUAUAGGGGCCAGCCCUACGGGACUUAGCGAGUGUUCUCCUUGUGUGCAGAGAUGAGAGAUUGUAAUAAAUAAAGACACAAGACAAAGUGAUAAAGAGAAAACAGCUGGGCCCCGGGACCACUACCAUCAAGACGCAGAGACUGGUCGUGGCCCCGAACAGCUGGGCGCGCUGAUAUUUAUUGCAUACAAGACAAGGGGGCAGGUGAAUCUUCUAAGUGAUUGACAAGUUGAAGCAAGUCACCUGAUCACAGGGCAGUGGGCCCUUCCCUCUGAGGUAGUCAAAGCAGAGAGAGAGAAGGCAGCCUACAUCCGUGUUUUCUUCUCUGCACUUAUAAGAAAGUUCAAAGACUUUAAGACUGUCACUAUUUCUGCUACCGCUAUCUACUACGAACUUCAAAGAGGAACCAGGAGUAGGGGAGGAACAUUUCGUGCCUUCAGUCUCUUGCCUCAGCACCUGGGUAAUCCUCCGCCGACACAGACAAGGAAUCUCCGGAAGAAGAACAGAACAAUGUCAGCCCCUCUGAAUCUUGAGUGUGGAAAAUCACGGCGCAGCCUACCAAUUGUUACUGGCAGGGGAUGUGCUGGAGAAUGAGGAGUUGGCAACUCUUCUUCCUCUGGCCAGGAGUUUUCUUCUUACUCAUUAGCAAUUAUUUACCUGCUCUUUGUUCCUCCUCCUUGCACAUGCUAUGCUGAGUGAACUCACCAGAAGGAAAAUAAUUUCAUAGUGCAUGUUUCGAAAGCAUCCUCUGUGGUAGGAAAGUUUUUGUGAAACAGAAGAACAUUGGAGGUUAGCAAUCAUUUUAUUAUUUUGUUAAAUGAAGAAAACCAAGAAAAAUAAAAUUUCUGGUAAAGAAAGAAUUGUUUCAGUUGACUGGUCUGGGGUGCCUUUCUAGUGAUUUUGGCCAGUGCAUCAGGAAGCUAAGUUUGCAUUUUGGAGGUUGUGGACUCAGCAUAUGAGUCAAGUUUCUUUGCAAAGAAAACCUGAGACAGUUUUGUUGUAUUCUAAUUUAUAAUUGGGCAUUAGGCAACGUAGCAAUGAAGGAUCUUACUUCAGCAAGUUUACUGCUUAAUUUUGCUUUUGGUUCUACUUAGCAUCUUUAAGCAGAGGAAAGGAAGCAACUAUACUCCUUCGGGGAAUCAAGAUAUGACAAUUGGACAUUUGGAUAUUCAUGUGUUUUUUUAGGAUGGAACCUCUAUAAAUGGAAUGACACUUCUAAGGUCCAAAAGUAAAUAUAAAUUUUAAAUUGUUCUUUUAACUCUAUGCACAUUUCUUAGAAUCUCAGAAAAAAUAAACAUUCCAA